AGUUAUUCAGCUAAGAAGCACUAUGUUUUGAAAACAUAUUAAAGAAGUUCAACCCUUCUAUUAACUU
rnacentral:tRNA from 1 species